rnacentral:rRNA from 1 species
CACGUAGGGGGCAAGCGUUGUCCGGAUUCAUUGGGCGUAAAGAGCUCGUAGGCGGUUCGGUAAGUCGGGUGUGAAACCUCCAGGCUCAACCUGGAGACGCCACCCGAUACUGUCGUGACUAGAGUCCAGUAGGGGAGCGUGGAAUUCCUGGUGUAGCGGUGAAAUGCGCAGAUAUCAGGAGGAACACCAGUGGCGAAGGCGGCGCUCUGGGCUGGCACUGACGCUGAGGAGCGAAAGCGUGGGGAGCGAACAGG